rnacentral:lncRNA from 1 species
CCCCGCUCCCUCCUCUCGGCACUCACUGGGCCCUGGCUGGAGUUACCGGAGGGAAAUCGGCUGCUUUAAAAGCCUUUUUCGCUCCUGGUGUCUCCCUCUUCCACCAAAACCGUGUCAGGACGUGUGUGCUCCAAGCAGUCGGUGUAUUUUUAUACCCUUUGAAAUUGCUCCACGCCUGCUCUGAGUAGUUACACCCUCUCUUUGCAUUUAUCAUUGUACCUUAAACAGCAAUGCUGGAACUAGGUUUGAAAUGGUUUUUGUUCUCUGCUGCCAUCCUCUAAUGAACUUCAACAUAUAGAGUCAAUUAGAGUCAUUUCUGUCCAGCCACUUUCAUUGUCCUAUUUUCUUCAGUCCAUGUAGAGUCUCACAGGUGCCCCUGUAGUGCUUUGUUUUCAAAUUGCUCCCUCCAGAGUUUGACUACAAGCUCACCAGAAGGUGACUGUUGGAGAUGUAACAGAAAUCUUUUGGAAUUCUUUUUUUACAGAUAGCUCUCUGUCCGUGACCACUUUCAGAUUUUAAGGAUAACCAUCACAGUGCACAUAAUUCAUAGUAAUCAAGUUAAUAGAAACUCUUUUAAAGUGCAGUAGGUGCUGUCCUGAGAAUUAUGUGUUACAGGUCUGUGUUUGGACACUUGUGACUGUGAGGAGUUGAUUAAAGACACAAAAACUGUAGUGGAUCCUCCUUGCCCUGUUCUGUCAUGUUCUCCUGGCUGCCAUGUGUUCUCAGGGAUCCUUUCAAGCUGCUGACUCUGCAUUUUGUACUUGACUGGAAGAACAAGGCAAAUAUUUCUGGUGUUAAGCCUGUGCAGCUCCUGAGGUAAUUGUUGGGUGGUCAUGGAGGGGCCUGGGCUGUGGCCACACUGUGUCUCUUGGGCUGUUCCUGUUAUUCCAGGGUUUCUGACAGCUGUUGUGUCCCCAGUGCUGGGAGCAGGCAGUAGGAGCAGGGCCCUCAGUGUCCUGUGCCUGCAGUGACAGCUGAUCAUGAGGAGUGUGACUUACAAACAUAUGCUGCAGGAACACUGGAUUUGUGCAAAAAAAACCCCAAAAUUCAGUCUGGAAGACCCUCAGGAUACAGAGCAGCAGCUGCCAUGGGUGGGAGCCUGAGAGCUUGGGCUGU